UACGAAGGGGGCUAGCGUUGCUCGGAUUGACUGGGCGUAAAGGGCGCGUAGGCGGUUCGUACAGUCAGACGUGAAAUUCCUGGGCUCAACCUGGGGGCUGCGUUUGAUACGUGCGGACUUGAGUGCGGAAGAGGGUCGUGGAAUUCCCAGUGUAGCAGUGAAAUGCGUAGAGAUCGGGAGGAACAUCCAUGGCGAAGGCAGCUACCUGGACCAACACUGACACUGAGGCACGAAAGCGUGGGGAGCAAACAGG
rnacentral:rRNA from 1 species